AACCGAGAUUCCCCCAGUAGCGGCGAGCGAACGGGGAGCAGCCCAGAGCCUGAAUCAGUGUGUGUGUUAGUGGAAGCGUCUGGAAAGGCGUGCGAUACAGGGUGACAGCCCCGUACACAAAAAUGCACAUAUUGUGAGCUCGAUGAGUAGGGCGGGACACGUGGUAUCCUGUCUGAAUAUGGGGGGACCAUCCUCCAAGGCUAAAUACUCCUGACUGACCGAUAGUGAACCAGUACCGUGAGGGAAAGGCGAAAAGAACCCCGGCGAGGGGAGUGAAAAAGAACCUGAAACCGUGUACGUACAAGCAGUGGGAGCACGCUUAGGCGUGUGACUGCGUACCUUUUGUAUAAUGGGUCAGCGACUUAUAUUCUGUAGCAAGGUUAACCGAAUAGGGGAGCCGAAGGGAAACCGAGUCUUAACUGGGCGUUAAGUUGCAGGGUAUAGACCCGAAACCCGGUGAUCUAGCCAUGGGCAGGUUGAAGGUUGGGUAACACUAACUGGAGGACCGAACCGACUAAUGUUGAAAAAUUAGCGGAUGACUUGUGGCUGGGGGUGAAAGGCCAAUCAAACCGGGAGAUAGCUGGUUCUCCCCGAAAGCUAUUUAGGUAGCGCCUCGUGAAUUCAUCUCCGGGGGUAGAGCACUGUUUCGGCAAGGGGGUCAUCCCGACUUACCAACCCGAUGCAAACUGCGAAUACCGGAGAAUGUUAUCACGGGAGACACACGGCGGGUGCUAACGUCCGUCGUGAAGAGGGAAACAACCCAGACCGCCAGCUAAGGUCCCAAAGUCAUGGUUAAGUGGGAAACGAUGUGGGAAGGCCCAGACAGCCAGGAUGUUGGCUUAGAAGCAGCCAUCAUUUAAAGAAAGCGUAAUAGCUCACUGGUCGAGUCGGCCUGCGCGGAAGAUGUAACGGGGCUAAACCAUGCACCGAAGCUGCGGCAGCGACGCUUAUGCGUUGUUGGGUAGGGGAGCGUUCUGUAAGCCUGUGAAGGUGUGCUGUGAGGCAUGCUGGAGGUAUCAGAAGUGCGAAUGCUGACAUAAGUAACGAUAAAGCGGGUGAAAAGCCCGCUCGCCGGAAGACCAAGGGUUCCUGUCCAACGUUAAUCGGGGCAGGGUGAGUCGACCCCUAAGGCGAGGCCGAAAGGCGUAGUCGAUGGGAAACAGGUUAAUAUUCCUGUACUUGGUGUUACUGCGAAGGGGGGACGGAGAAGGCUAUGUUGGCCGGGCGACGGUUGUCCCGGUUUAAGCGUGUAGGCUGGUUUUCCAGGCAAAUCCGGAAAAUCAAGGCUGAGGCGUGAUGACGAGGCACUACGGUGCUGAAGCAACAAAUGCCCUGCUUCCAGGAAAAGCCUCUAAGCAUCAGGUAACAUCAAAUCGUACCCCAAACCGACACAGGUGGUCAGGUAGAGAAUACCAAGGCGCUUGAGAGAACUCGGGUGAAGGAACUAGGCAAAAUGGUGCCGUAACUUCGGGAGAAGGCACGCUGAUAUGUAGGUGAAGUCCCUUGCGGAUGGAGCUGAAAUCAGUCGAAGAUACCAGCUGGCUGCAACUGUUUAUUAAAAACACAGCACUGUGCAAACACGAAAGUGGACGUAUACGGUGUGACGCCUGCCCGGUGCCGGAAGGUUAAUUGAUGGGGUCAGCGCAAGCGAAGCUCUUGAUCGAAGCCCCGGUAAACGGCGGCCGUAACUAUAACGGUCCUAAGGUAGCGAAAUUCCUUGUCGGGUAAGUUCCGACCUGCACGAAUGGCGUAAUGAUGGCCAGGCUGUCUCCACCCGAGACUCAGUGAAAUUGAACUCGCUGUGAAGAUGCAGUGUACCCGCGGCAAGACGGAAAGACCCCGUGAACCUUUACUAUAGCUUGACACUGAACAUUGAGCCUUGAUGUGUAGGAUAGGUGGGAGGCUUUGAAGUGUGGACGCCAGUCUGCAUGGAGCCGACCUUGAAAUACCACCCUU
rnacentral:rRNA from 1 species